UACGGAGGGUGCAAGCGUUAAUCGGAAUUACUGGGCGUAAAGCGCGCGUAGGUGGCUUGAUAAGCCGGUUGUGAAAGCCCCGGGCUUAACCUGGGAACGGCAUUUCGAACUGUCAGGCUAGAGUGUGGUAGAGGGUAGUGGAAUUUCCUGUGUAGCGGUGAAAUGCGUAGAUAUAGGAAGGAACACCAGUGGCGAAGGCGGCUACCUGGACCAACACUGACACUGAGGUGCGAAAGCGUGGGGAGCAAACAGG
rnacentral:rRNA from 1 species